rnacentral:rRNA from 1 species
AGGGCGCAAGGCGGAUGCCUUGGCACCAGGAGGCGACGAAGGACGUGACAAGCAACGAAAACCUCGAGUAGGAGCAAAUAUCCAGUGACUCGGGGGAAUCCGAAUGGGGAAACCUACUAGACACACUCUAGUAUCCAUACGUAAAUACAUAGCGUAUGGAAGCGAAUGUUCUGAACUGAAACAUCUAAGUAGGAACAAGAAAAGAAAGAAAACUCGAUUCUCCAAGUAGCGGCGAGCGAACAGAGAACAGCCCAUUAAAGUAAGACUAAACUGAUAGACAAAUCUUAUGGAAAGAAGAACCAAAGAAAGUAACAGUCUUGUAGUCGAAAUCAGAAUAGAGACACUUUAAGAAGAGUACCACGGAGCACGUGAAAUUCUGUGGGAAGAUAGGGGGACCACCCCCUAAGGCUAAAUACUACCUGGUGACCGAUAGCGAAUAGUACCGUGAGGGAAAGGUGAAAAGAACCCCGGGAGGGGAGUGAAAUAGAACCUGAAACCUUGCGCCUACAAGCAGACAGAGGAAGAAGACUUCUAAUGUCGUACUUUUUGUAGAACGGGCCAGCGAGUUACGAUACGUAGCAAGAUUAAACAUUUAAGAUGUGAAGUCGUAGGGAAACCGAGUCUUAAUAGGGCAAAAGUUGCGUGUUGUAGACCCGAAACCGGGUGAUCUAUCCAUGGGCAGAGUGAAGGUAAAGUAAAAUUUACUGGAGGCUCGAACCGGGUAGCGUUUAAAAGCUAUCGGAUGACCUGUGGAUAGGGGUGAAAAGCCAAUCGAACUCGGAUAUAGCUGGUUCUCCUCGAAAUAGCUUUAGGGCUAGCCUUGUUUUAGAUUACAGGAGGUAGAGCACUGAAUAGUCUAGGGGAAGUAAUUCUACCGAAACUUAUCAAACUCCGAAUGCCUGAAAAUCGAUGAACAGGAGUCAGACCAUGAGGGAUAAGCUUCAUAGUCAAAAGGGAAACAGCCCAGACCACCAGUUAAGGUCCCAAAAUACAGAUUAAGUGGGAAAGGAUGUAAUACUACUCAGACAACCAGGAUGUUGGCUCAGAAGCAGCCAUACAAGCAAUUGUGGAUUAUAUACAAGUGAGAAUGCUGGCAUGAGUAGCGAAAAGGGAUGUGAGAAUCAUCCCCGUCGAAAGCCCAAGGAUUCCUGAGCAAGGCUCGUCCUCUCAGGGUAAGUCGGGACCUAAGGCGAGGCCGAAAGGCGUAGUCGAUGGACAACAGGUAGAAAUUCCUGUACUACAAGAUUGUGAUUGAGAGAAGUACUGACGCAGAAGGAAAAGUCGAGCGUGCGAAUGGUUGUGCACGUCCAAAUAACAAGCCAGAAUAUACAGGCAAAUCCGUAUAUUCGCCAACGUAAGUUAUGAUGGGGAGCAGAAAGAUGCGAAGCGACAGAUUCAAACUGCCAAGAAAAGGUGCUAUCGAAUAAUCUUGUACCCGUACCGCAAACCGACACAGGUAGGCAAGAAGAGAAUUCUAAGACGCGCGGAAGAACCUUUGUUAAGGAACUCGGCAAAAUAAUCCCGUAAGUUAGCGAGAAGGGAUGCCUAAGAAAUUAGGUCGCAGAGAAUAGGCCCAAGCGACUGAGCCCCAGUAAACGGCGGCCGUAACUAUAACGGUCCUAAGGUAGCGAAAUUCCUUGUCGGGUAAGUUCCGACCCGCACGAAAGGUGUAACGAUUUGGGCGCUGUCUCAACAAAGGAUCCGGUGAAAUUGUAGUAGUCGUGAAGAUGCGACUUACCCACGGUAGGACGGAAAGACCCCGUGGAGCUUUACUGCAGGUUGACAUUGAAUUUUGGGAUUAAAUGUACAGGAUAGGUGGGAGACUAAGAAGCAAGCUCGCCAGAGUUUGCAGAGUCACUGUUGGGAUACCACCCUUUUAAUUCUAAAGUUCACGGAUAAAAGCUACCCCGGGGAUAACAGGCUUAUCUCCCCCAAGAGUCCACAUCGACGGGGAGGUUUGGCACCUCGAUGUCGGCUCGUCUCAUCCUGGAGCUGGAGUAGGUUCCAAGGGUUGGGCUGUUCGCCCAUUAAAGAGGCACGCGAGCUGGGUUCAGAACGUCGUGAGACAGUUCGGUCCCUAUCCACCGUGGGCGUGAGAAAUUUGAGAGGAUCUGUCCUUAGUACGAGAGGACCGGGAUGGACAGACCGCUGGUGUACGAGUUGUACUGCCAAGUGCACAGCUCGGUAGCUACGUCUGGGAAGGAUAAGUGCUGAAGGCAUCUAAGCACGAAACCAACCUCGAGAUAAGAUUUCU